AAAAUUGAGUUAGACAAGUUAAGUAACUGCUCAGAGCUUUAUAUACACUAAAUAUCAGAAUUAGGCUUUAUCUCAGAACUCUUUGACUCCAAGAUACAGGAAAUUAAGAACUAUUAUACUUUCUCUAUUUCUAAAUGUAAUACAAUUCACACAUUUUAAAUAUCUUAAGUGUCAAUAUCUGCCGUACAUUAAAACAAGCUACAUCAAAGAAAGUUUAUUGUCUUUUUAAGUAUUAUUUGGAAAAAAAUCUUAAGUAUGUACAUAUAUAUUUAAAACUACCUAGAAUAUAUUUUCAACAAUAGAAAAUCAAAUGAAGUAAUAAAUGCUGUGGUCCGAAUAUCUGUGUCCUCUUCAGAUUUUUAUGUUGCAAUCUUAACCUUAAGUUAAUGGCAUUAAGAGGUAAGUCCUGUGGGAGGUGAUACACUGAUGGGGACAUCCCAUUAAGUAACCAAUGGGCUAAGGCAGCUCAUUUGCCAUUUCUACAGUGUGAGAAUGCAGCAACAAGGUGCCAACUAUGAAGCAAAGAGCCCUUACCAGACAAUGAAUCUACUGACAACUUGAUCUUGGACUUUUCAGCUUCCCAAACUGGUUACCAACUAUAUCACAUAAUGGUCCUAAGGAUUAAAUGAAAAAAAAAUGCAGUAAGAUAAAGCUGAUUUAUCAAGGUUGGGGAAAUGCGGUAAAGAAAGAGGUUAAUUCACAGAGCCAGCUGAAUAGAAUACCAGAGUUUUAUUUCUACACAAAUCAGUCUCCCAGCCAUGGUCCAGGCUUGAGGAUGGAGCCCUCACGAGAGACCUCACCAUUUUCUACCUAGUAUUUCCCUGUCUCCUGUCUAUAUCUCAGAGCAUUAAAUUGAAGCCAAGGGACUGAAAUAAGAAACUCCAGAGAACAAAAAGAGGAAUUGAAAUUGCAUGGUCAUUAGAAGUCAUCUUAAGAAUAACCGUGUAGCAGAGAAUGAGGACUCAUAUCAAAGUUUGAUUCUUUUAGUAUUGGAUUUUAUGUAAGUAAAAUUUUUAGUAUACUGAAACAAAUAUUAUCAUCAAUAUAUUAAUGUUCAUAUUUACAUUUUCACCAUGAUGCAGAAGAUGAAAACACUAAACAGACUAUUUGCUAAUGCUGAAAAUCUUUAGUAUUUACAUAAGUUAUAUUAUACAUAAAAUAAAAAUAAUAUAAACUAAGCAUAACUGAAAUGUGCUUUUAAGACCUUGGUUUUGUUUAAGUCUAAAAAUCAAAUACAAAUGUAAUAUAAAGUUCAGUGUGUAACUAUGACAAAAAAUAUUUUGAGUUUAGGAAAUAAGCUGUAGUAUCUGGAAUUUCAAGAGGUAUAUAUAAUACAUUAUGAGAAAGAGUACUUUAAAGGUCAAAAGAAGGGAAAAUAAUAAUAAUUUAAAGCUCAAUAAAUGAAUUCAAAUCCA
rnacentral:lncRNA from 1 species